GGGACGAUAAGACCCUAUAAAGUUUGUACACUAAACUAAUUUAGAGUGAUUUAGAUUUAUAAAGUUUACUAUUGGGGAGGUGUUUAGUUGGGGCGACUAGGAUACAAGUUAUCUAACUGUUUCUUUUUUAUAAUCAGAAAUAUUUGAGUUUAUGAUCCUUUUUUUAGGAUUAUAGAGUAAAUUACUUUAGGGAUAACAGCGUAAUUUUUUUUGAGAGUUCUUAUCGAUAAGAAAGUUUGCGACCUCGAUGUUGAA
rnacentral:rRNA from 1 species